rnacentral:misc_RNA from 1 species
GUGAAUCAUCGAAUUUUUGAACGCAAAUUGCACUCUCCUCGGAGAGUAGGCCUGUUUGAGGGUCAGGCUAUGAAAAAUCGACAUCGUGGCUGGUUCGCGGUGUCGUUCGUCUGAGAUGGGGGCAUCUUAAAUCCUUUUGAUGUAAGCGACUUAAAAUUUGCUUUUUGUUCCGUGAACGUUUCUAAGAUUUAUUUCUUUACACGUUUAUGUUAUCGAUUUGUACUAGACGUAACCAUCAUAUCGGAUCGCGUCC